CUUCUGCCUUUUUUCCAUAUUCUGCCAUAUCACUUCCCAAAACCCUCCUUUCAAUUUAAUAAUCUUCUUACAGGAAA